CUCCCAGCGCGGCGGGGCCAUGGCUGCGCGGGGUUUCCGGGCGCUAGCCAGAGCCGCGCCCGGGAGGCCACUGCCUAGGGCCAAAAGUUUCCGACAGCUGAUCAGCUCCGCCCUCCGCUCGGCUUCCGAGGGAGACCCGAGGCUUCCGGCGAGCCAAGAGUUAACCGCGGCCGAGAGGCACAUCGCCGAGCUGCACCGGGCCGCCUGCGCGGUGAGGCCCGCUCCGGCCUGCCCCGCGGCCUCUGCGCCUGCGCGUGACCGGCCCCUGGAACCCAGGGGCGUUCCGACACCCCCGGCCUCGGGCGGCCGGCCCCGUGCGCUCUCUGGGAGGGUCCUGCGAGAAGCCUGGCCGCACUUUUGCGUUCCGGAUGGAGGUGUCAGUUCUGAUCUGUGUCCCAGCCAGAGGCUUGUCUCGGGGCUGGGCAGCUGAGCUAUGUGGACCCAGCUACUGGCUAUGUGGUUCUCACAAGGCUGGCCCACUUGCAGAGAGGUUCCUGCUGUGGUUCUGCCUGCAGACACCAGCCACCAGGAGGCCCUUUGUCUGACAGUGGAAGAGUUAUGCAGUAACAGAAGGCUGCUGCCCAGGGCUGGACCUCAGGCUUGGACCACUCAUAGAUUUUCAGAUCUUAAACAACAAAAAGGUUCCAGUGCCAAUAUUCAUUACAAAAUGGAAGUUCUUCUUAGCUGUAAAAUAUGUGAAAAGAAACCUAGUGGCUCUUUAUUUUUUUAUUACUAUUUUGUUGUUUUUCAUGCCUGACAUUAAAUUACCUUCAAAGCCUGUUGA